GACGAACGCUGGCGGCGUGCUUAACACAUGCAAGUCGAACGGAAAGGCCCCCAUCUUGGUGGGGGUGCUCGAGUGGCGAACGGGUGAGUAACACGUGGGUGAUCUGCCCUGUACUUCGGGAUAAGCUUGGGAAACUGGGUCUAAUACCGGAUAGGACCAUGGUUUAGUGUCUCAUGGUGGAAAGAUUAUUGUUUUGGUGCAGGAUGAGCUCGCGGCCUAUCAGCUUGUUGGUGGGGUAAUGGCCUACCAAGGCGUCGACGGGUAGCCGGCCUGAGAGGGUGGACGGCCACAUUGGGACUGAGAUACGGCCCAGACUCCUACGGGAGGCAGCAGUGGGGAAUAUUACACAAUGGGCGCAAGCCUGAUGCAGCGACGCCGCGUGGGGGAUGACGGCCUUCGGGUUGUAAACUCCUUUCGUUAGGGACGAAGCCGCACUUUUUUUGGGUGUGGUGACGGUACCUUUGUGAAGAAGCACCGGCUAACUACGUG
rnacentral:rRNA from 1 species